CUACGGGUUGCAGCAGUGAGGAAUAUUGCACAAUGGGGGGAACCCUGAUGCAGCAACGCCGCGUGGAGGAUGACGCAUUUCGGUGUGUAAACUCCUUUUAUAUGCCAAGAAAAUGACGGUAGCAUAUGAAUAAGCACCGGCUACACUCCGUGCCAGCAGCCGCGGUAAUACGGAGGGUGCAAGCGUUACUCGGAAUCACUGGGCGUAAAGGACGCGUAGGCGGGUUGGAAAGUCAGGUGUGAAAUCCUACAGCUUAACUGUAGAACUGCACUUGAAACUUCUAAUCUAGAGUAUGGGAGGGGGAGAUGGAAUUAGUGGUGUAGGGGUAAUAUCCGUAGAUAUCACUAGGAAUACCUAAAGCGAAGGCGAUCACCUGGAACAUUACUGACGCUAAGGCGUGAAAGCGUGGGGAGCAAACAGGAUUAGAUACCCCGGUAGUC
rnacentral:rRNA from 1 species